GCGCAAAUUACCCACUCCCGGCACGGGGAGGUAGUGACGAAAAAUAACGAUACGGGACUCAUCCGAGGCCCCGUAAUCGGAAUGAGUACACUCUAAACUCUUUAACGAGUAUCCAUUGGAGGGCAAGUCUGGUGCCAGCAGCCGCGGUAAUUCCAGCUCCAAUAGCGUAUAUUAAAGUUGUUGCGGUUAAAAAGCUCGUAGUUGGACUUGUGUCCCACGCUGUCGGUUCACCGUUUGUCGGUGUCAACUGGCAUGCCCGUGCGGACGUCCUGCCGGUGGAUGCGGUCGUACGUGGGGGGUAGCCCCUCCGGGGUCCCGCGCGUCGGCGGUCCGAUGCAAUCCUACCGCGGUGCUCUUCAUCGAGUGUCGAGGUGGGCCGGCACGUUUACUUUGAACAAAUUAAAGUGCUCAAAGCAGGCAGUGGUUUGCCUGAAUAUUGUGUGCAUGGAAUAAUGGAAUAGGACCUCGGUUCUAUUUUGUUGGUUUUAGGAAUCUGAGGUAAUGAUUAAUAGGGACAGACGGGGGCAUUCGUAUUGCGACGUUAGAGGUGAAAUUCUUGGAUCGUCGCAAGACGAACCUAAGCGAAAGCAUUUGCCAUGAGUGUUUUCAUUAAUCAAGAACGAAAGUUAGAGGUUCGAAGGCGAUCAGAUACCGCCCUAGUUCUAACCAUAAACGAUGCCAGCUGGCGAUCCGCCGAUGUUCCUCCGAUGACUCGGCGGGCAGCUUCCGGGAAACCAAAGCUUUUGGGUUCCGGGGGAAGUAUGGUUGCAAAGCUGAAACUUAAAGGAAUUGACGGAAGGGCACCACCAGGAGUGGAGCCUGCGGCUUAAUUUGACUCAACACGGGAAACCUCACCAGGCCCGGACACCGGAAGGAUUGACAGAUUGAUAGCUCUUUCUUGAUUCGGUGGGUGGUGGUGCA
rnacentral:rRNA from 1 species